rnacentral:rRNA from 1 species
AUUGAACGCUGGCGGCAUGCCUUACACAUGCAAGUCGAACGGUAACAGGUUAAGCUGACGAGUGGCGAACGGGUGAGUAAUAUAUCGGAACGUGCCCAGUCGUGGGGGAUAACUGCUCGAAAGAGCAGCUAAUACCGCAUACGACCUGAGGGUGAAAGCGGGGGAUCGUAAGACCUCGCGCGAUUGGAGCGGCCGAUAUCAGAUUAGGUAGUUGGUGGGGUAAAAGCUCACCAAGCCAACGAUCUGUAGCUGGUCUGAGAGGACGACCAGCCACACUGAGACUGAGACACGGCCCAGACUCCUACGGGAGGCAGCAGUGGGGAAUUUUGGACAAUGGGCGCAAGCCUGAUCCAGCCAUGCCGCGUGCGGGAAGAAGGCCUGGUGUAACGCUUUGUCAGGGAAGAAAAGGUUACUGGAUAAUACCUGGGACGUCAUGACGGUACCUGAAGAAUAAGACACCGGCUAACUACGUAGCCAGCAGCCGCGGUAAGU